GCCCCGCACCCGCGCAGGGCGGCUCCUGCGCAUGCGCAAACAGAGGGGGUCGGGCGCGGCCCAAGACGACGCCAAGGGAGCGGACGGGCGGGGGAGGAGGUGGCCUCUGCGCAGGCGCAGAGAGGAGAGGGGCGAGCGACUCCUGCGCAAGCGCAGAGUGAAGGGCCAGGAACAGUGGAGGGUGUGAAGAAGACAAUGGGGGAGGACCCCCAGGCGGCCUCUGUGAGCCGACAGGAACACGUGGUCAGAGAGACUCGAGGUUCGUGAAAGGAUGGGGAGGACCCUGAAAAGCACUGUGGAAUACAGAUUUCUAGUAACUUCAAAAUCACAUCAUUUGGACUGGUGUAUUUUCACCAGGUAAAGAGCUUCUUAUGGUUCACUGAGGACAAUCAACCCCUUCACGAUCUAGAACCCAAAGAUGCGAUCUUCUGAGAAUAUCAGAGAAAAACUGCCCUUGGCAUCCUCACUGCAACAAAACAUCAGGAUCUUGAACCUUGGGGUCAUAAUCUCACAACUGAGCAGGGUCACUCCACACUCUUGGAACUGUACAGCCAUUGAAACCCUUAAGGUAAAGCUAACCAGGGAAGUUUCUCCCAGAAGAAGGUGGCGUCCUUGAUGUGAGCAGCUCUUUCUGAAGAUCAUGGAUCAAGACUUCUUACUAUCAAUGAGACUCUUAUCUUUGAAUAUUUUUCCCUUGCUUAUGCCUCUAUGAACAAUAGAAGUGAGAAGGGGGUCUGUUUUGUGCACUUAUGGGGUAUACUUUUAUUUGUGAAGGGUUUUGCAGCCAGCUUUAUACAUGGAUAAUCUUAUAACUUGACAGAUAAAAGAUGAAGGCCCAAUGUAUCAUAGGUGAGAAACUUAAAUGGUACGUAUGGUGCCUCAUAAUCAUUCAGAAACAGAACAUUGGUUCACUCCUCUUAACCCACAGCAUGGGUUAAAGAGAACAUUGCCAGGAGGGCUUCCCUAUUCUAGAAGGGCAUCAUUUGUUAGGUCCUUUUUCCAUGGUUUGGAAUAAAAAAGGCAAUGACUAGAAACGUAUCCCUCAUGGUAGACUCUAUAGCAGAUUCUACUGUAAAGGCUACACAACAGAUGUUAAAUUCUCUUGUGAAAGUUAUGCUAAAAAAUAGAAUUGGCUAAGCAGAAAAGUAUCAGUGCAGCUGCCGGCACUUAGGGCCUAUGGAGAAAACCUCAGGUAUUAUAGAGAUUCUGUUGUAGGGAACUAACAAAAAGACCACUGAGUUAAGUCAAAGAAUGAGCUUUAUCUAGCUCAUUCUUUGAUCUAUUUGAGUUUAGGUGGUUUGGUUUAUGUGGACCCUGGGUAAGGAGCAUACUCCAGAUUCUUGGUGUUACCCUCUCAGUAGUCAUAAGAAUAGUGUCCUCUCAAAGGUUUUAAAUGUUUGCAUGAAGCCAUCUUUAGAACGUCAGAUGGUCUCUCUUCAAUUGGAAUGACAAGAGCUGAAAGAAAUGUGUGACCAUGAGGACACCGUAACCUACGAGUGACGUGCUGAGACCAGAAACCCAAAAUGAUAGUAAUGGAGAGUGGCGCUGACACCCUAAGUUUUGAUCACAGUGUUGCCUAAGUGAGAACCUGACCAAAAAGGGGGGAUUUUUUAAACAAAAUAAUGGGAGGCCAUUGUUUUGGACUGAGCACUAGGUCCCAACAGACCAAACCGAACCAAAAUGGUGUCAUUCGUGCUAAAUGUGACAUAAUCGAAUUAAGACUUUAAGGAAACAAUGGGUCCUAGAAUAGACCAGGUUUUGUUUUUCUCUUGCAAACAGGACUUUCCAGCAUAAGGUGGUACCCUCAACUCAGUCCUUGUUCCUACCUUUGCAAAACUCACUGUUCUGCUUCCUAGUGGGUUUCAAGACCAAUGGUGAUAGUGACCUCAAUAACAAGUUUUGGUCAAUCUCUCAAAACUGAGAAAAUGACCAAAAAGGGGGAAUUGUUAAAGCGAACUAAAUAUGGCCUGAGAAGGACUCCAUACUUCUGUAUUGGAGUCCUUGUGGACAAACUGAGCCUAACUUAAUAGGUAGACAAGGUUGAAAACCCAAAUUAGGAGUAUGCACCUGUCACAAUUGCUGAGUCUCGGCCAGUCCCAGCAGCCGUACUUCAAUCGCUCAUACACUGCUGAAUGUUCAAACUGUGUGUAAAUAAGGCAAAUGCCAACCUGUAACUGAUCCAGGUGUUUCUCUACCUCACUUCCCUUUUUUUGUCUACAAAUCUUCCACCACGUGGUUGCACUGGAGUCUCUCUGAAUCUGCUGUAAUUCUGGGGGCUGCCCGGUGUGCAAAUCAUUCAUUGCUCAAUUAAACUCCUUUAAAUUUAA